UACGGGGGGGGCAAGCGUUGUUCGGAAUUACUGGGCGUAAAGGGCUCGUAGGCGGCCAACUAAGUCAGACGUGAAAUCCCUCGGCUUAACCGGGGAACUGCGUCUGAUACUGGAUGGCUUGAGUUUGGGAGAGGGAUGCGGAAUUCCAGGUGUAGCGGUGAAAUGCGUAGAUAUCUGGAGGAACACCGGUGGCGAAGGCGGGUCUCUGGGCCGGUAACUGACGCUGGAGGAGCGAAAGCGUGGGGAGCGAACAGG
rnacentral:rRNA from 1 species